rnacentral:rRNA from 1 species
UACGAAGGGGGCUAGCGUUGUUCGGAAUUACUGGGCGUAAAGCGCGCGUAGGCGGUGAUCUUUGUCAGAGGUGAAAGCCUGGGGCUCAACUCCAGAAUUGGCCUUUGAAACGGGAUCGCUUGAGUCCGAGAGAGGAUGGCGGAAUUCCCGGUGUAGAGGUGAAAUUCGUAGAUAUCAAGCAGAACACCUGCGGCGAAGGCGGCCUCUGGGACGAU